UAAGGGAGAACACUACUGAUACAGUAUAUAUUGGACACUGAAUUGGUGCUCCAUGGAGCAAGGGCACCAAGAUUUAUGCACAAAUCCAAACCAAAUUUGGUCGACGCCACCGUGGCAGUGUUCUUCGGCACUCGGGUCAACAUAGUAGGUUUCUCCUUGUCAUUGACAGCAUCGGUUAGCAUAGGGGCAGCGGUAGCGGUCACGGUCACCCGAGGAGCACAGCCACACGGGGCUGGUCCUGCUGCCACCAGAGAAGAGCG